rnacentral:tRNA from 1 species
GGGGACGUGGUGGAAUGGUAGACACAACAGACUUAAAAUCUGUUGAUCAAUUCGGUCGUGAGGGUUCAAGUCCCUCCGUCCCCAACA